rnacentral:rRNA from 1 species
UUUAAAGAGAGUUUGAUCCUGGCUCAGGACGAACGCUGGCGGCGUGCCUAAUACAUGCAAGUCGAACGAACGGAGGAAGAGCUUGCUCUUCCAAUGUUAGUGGCGGACGGGUGAGUAACACGUGGGCAACCUGCCUGUAAGUUGGGGAUAACUCCGGGAAACCGGGGCUAAUACCGAAUGAUAAGAUGUGGCGCAUGCCACGCUUUUGAAAGAUGGUUUCGGCUAUCGCUUACAGAUGGGCCCGCGGUGCAUUAGCUA